GCUAAUACCGCGUACGAUUCAUGAACGGCAUCGUUUAUGAAUGAAAGGUGGCCUCUAUGUAUAAGCUAUCGCUGAAGGAGGGGAUUGCGUCUGAUUAGCUAGUUGGAGGGGUAACGGGCCCACCAAGGCAAUGAUCAGUAGCCGGUCUGAGAGGAUGAACGGCCACACUGGAACUGAGACACGGUCCAG
rnacentral:rRNA from 1 species